GAUGAACGCUGGCGGCGUGCCUAAUACAUGCAAGUCGAGCGAACGGACGAGAAGCUUGCUUCUCUGAUGUUAGCGGCGCACGGGUGAGUAACACGUGGAUAACCUACCUAUAAGACUGGGAUAACUUCGGGAAACCGGAGCUAAUACCGGAUGAUAUUUUGAACCGCAUGGUUCAAAAGUGAAAGACGGUCUUGCUGUCACUUAUAGAUGGAUCCGCGCUGCAUUAGCUAGUUGGUAAGGUAACGGCUUACCAAGGCAACGAUGCAUAGCCGACCUGAGAGGGUGAUCGGCCACACUGGAACUGAGACACGGUCCAGACUCCUACGGGAGGCAGCAGUAGGGAAUCUUCCGCAAUGGGCGAAAGCCUGACGGAGCAACGCCGCGUGAGUGAUGAAGGUCUUCGGAUCGUAAAACUCUGUUAUUAGGGAAGAACAUAUGUGUAAGUAACUGUGCACAUCUUGACGGUACCUAAUCAGAAAGCCACGGCUAACUACGUG
rnacentral:rRNA from 1 species